UACGGAGGGGGCGAGCGUUAUUCGGAAUUAUUGGGCGUAAAGAGCUCGUAGGCGGUCUGUCGCGUCUGCUGUGAAAACUCGGGGCUUAACUCCGGGCCUGCAGUGGGUACGGGCAGACUAGAGUGCGGUAGGGGAGACUGGAAUUCCUGGUGUAGCGGUGAAAUGCGCAGAUAUCAGGAGGAAUACCGGUGGCGAAGGCGGCAUCCUGGACCGACAUUGACGCUGAGGAGCGAAAGCUAGGGGAGCAAACGGG
rnacentral:rRNA from 1 species